UACAGAGACCUCAAGCGUUGUUCGGAUUCAUUGGGCGUAAAGAGUGCGCAGGUGGCAAGGUGUGUCGGACGUGAAAGCCCACGGCUUAACCGUGGAAGUGCAUCCGAAACUACCUAGCUGGAGGUUUGCAGGGGCGAGCGGAAUUCUCGGUGUAGCGGUGAAAUGCGUAGAUAUCGAGAGGAACACCGGUGGCGAAGGCGGCUCGCUAGGCAAAUCCUGACACUGGUGCACGAAAGCGUGGGUAGCAAAUGGG
rnacentral:rRNA from 1 species